GAAAGGAGGAAGUGAGAAGAAAGAAACAGGGAAAUGCAGGCUGAGGAAUUACCAAGGAGGCAGGAGGUGGAGCAAAACACACCAAGCCUGAUGCCAAUCAUUGACAAUAUUAUGACCCUGCAUGUGAUGGAUCAGCUGACACCAUCCAGAUUGGUAAACUGGUUCGUCUGAUCUUGUGCCCUCCACCCAGGAACUGACUCAGCGCAAGAAGACAGCUUCGACUCCUUAUGAUUUCAUCCCUAACCAAUCAGCACUCCUGGCUCACUGGCUUCCCCCAACCCACCAAAUUGUCCUUAAAAACUCUGUUCUCCAAAUGCUGGGGGAGACUGAUUUGAGUAAUAAUAAAACUCUGGUCUCCU
rnacentral:lncRNA from 1 species